rnacentral:rRNA from 1 species
GAUGAACGCUGGCGGCGUGCCUAAUACAUGCAAGUCGAGCGAACGGACGAGAAGCUUGCUUUUCUGAUGUUAGCGGCGGACGGGUGAGUAACACGUGGAUAACCUACCUAUAAGACUGGGAUAACUUCGGGAAACCGGAGCUAAUACCGGAUAAUAUUUUGAACCGCAUGGUUCAAAAGUGAAAGACGGUCUUGCUGUCACUUAUAGAUGGAUCCGCGCUGCAUUAGCUAGUUGGUAAGGUAACGGCUUACCAAGGCAACGAUGCAUAGCCGACCUGAGAGGGUGAUCGGCCACACUGGAACUGAGACACGGUCCAGACUCCUACGGGAGGUAGCAGUAGGGAAUCUUCCGCAAUGGGCGAAAGCCUGACGGAGCAACGCCUCGUGAGUGAUGAAGGUCUUCGGAUCGUAAAACUCUGUUAUUAGGGAAGAACAUAUGUGUAAGUAACUGUGCACAUCUUGACGGUACCUAAUCAGAAAGCCACGGCUAACUACGUG